AAAGAUAUUUGCAACUAUAAUUAAGCGCAGAUUAAAAACAUGGGCAGAAAAUAAUAAUAAGAUAUGCGAAGAACAAGCAGGCUUUAGGCCUGGAUACGCAACAACGGACAACUUGUUCACACUAACAGCUUGUAUACAGAAAUAUUUAAGUAAACUUUAAAAAAGGAUUUGACUCUAUAGAUAGAAAUAAACUUAUGUAUGUCCUCCAAAAAUGUGGUUUACUUGUUAAAAUGUUGACUAUGAUCCAGUCUAUGUAUUCGUCUGUAACAGCAUGCGUACGGUGUAACGCUGGUUUUACUGAGUGUUUUGAUUGUCCUAUCGGACUAAAACAGGGCUGUGUAUUAAGCCCAAUUCUUUUUACUCUUUUUAUUAAUGAGUUGGCUGCCGAUAUUCUUGAUACUUGUCGUAGGGGAGUACAAUUAUACCCUGAUUUACAUGAACUGUUUCUACUGAUGUUUGCCGAUGAUGUUAUUUUCAUGUCUGAUAGAGUUAGUGGGCUACAAGAGCAACUGAAUAUUCUCGAUGACUACUGGUGGAAAUCUUAAAAAAUGUGAAAAAUGGUAUUAUCGCAAUGAAAUUGUAGAAGUUGUUCCAGAAUAUAAGUACCUUGGGCUACAGAUGACUCCAUCAUUAAAUUUAACAAGGGAAGUAUCCCAUUUGGCGUUAAACGGAAAAUGAG